GGAUAUGAACCCAGGCAGCCUGGCUCUUGAAUCAAUGUGGGUUCUCUGGGGAGUUUUACUUUAUCAAAGACAGAAAAGAGAGCUAAAAGUUGACCCUAGUUUCUCAGCUGUAAAGGAAGCUCUUUAAAAAUUUCAAAGUAGCAUACAUGGUGGCAGUGACUCUGAGCUGCAGAAACAGUGCUGGAUUUUCCAGGCAGAAGAGGUUGAUAAUGAAAUGGUUGAGGGGACUGUAUUUUGUAAUGACUGAAGGCAAGAGGAGAAAAACCAAAUUUUGAACCUCAAAGCUGAGGGGGACUAGGACCCUUGGUAGGUGUUGAAUUCUAGGGCAGUGAUUCACCAGGACAAAGGGCAGUGACUGCUUAAGAUACUAAUUCAGUGUCAAAUAACUCAUGUGAAAGAACUCUUCUUUUUUCAACACUUUUAAACCCCUAGUGAAUGCAGUUUACCAGGAUGGGAGCAAUACUGAAGGCUUGCGGUGCCCAUCUGUCCGUUUGCCUUGUCCUUUUGUGACAUCUUGACCCACUUUUUCAGCUUGUCUUGGACAGUAGAACACACUCCUGGGGCCCGGAGGCCUCUUCCAACCAAGUAAUAUUUCUUUGGUGGAAAAAAACUUAACGGCACUGUUGGUUUGGUGACAAACCUGGAGUGAGGUCACUUUGAAGCCAUGUGGACUUGGAUGAGGGCCUGCAAACAAAAUCCAGCAAGAUGAAGGGAAGUGGUAUACUCUGAAACACCAGUUUUGUGUCCCUUUAGUCGGGAGCUGACAAUAUUAUUUUGGGGGUGUUGGGCACCAACAGAGCCCAUUGAAUCCACAUGACUCGGCCGAUAGGGGAGCACACACGUCACCAUACCCGCUGUCCAGGAAUCAGAGGAGGAGGUGCCCUGGGGUGAAGCCUGGGCCACAGCCCCGGUUAGCAGCUCUGCAGGCAUCUUACCUUGGAAACAGCACAGCUUGGCUUCCGUGUCAUCGCUGAGUUCAGAGAAUCCUAGUUUCACCGUGUCCUCAGUAGAGACCAGAGAACCAGGUUUGUUCCUUCAAGAAGUGUCCCAGUGCCUUGGAAUUCAGCAGCUGUUUCCAGAAGUAAAUAAUCAUGCCAGAUGCCUGUGAAUGGACUGUAUGGCCAAGUGCCCCGUCGCGAUAUUCAUGGAAGAAUGGUUUAAAAAAACAAAACAAAACUGAAGAAAAGGCAAAUUUCAAGAAUCGGCCCAAUGCCAUUUAGGAUUUUUGAGCAGCUGAAAGAAGAUAGUUCUGCAAAUAUGAGCAACAAGACUCUAGCAUAUUUCUUUACAUGUUUCUUACACUGUCUUUGUUAACCCAUUGCUUUUGUGUAUAAUAUUUGAGUUAUUUUCCCCUGCUGCUAAAGCUGGUAAUCUGCUUACGAUCAGAGUUUCAAUCUGUGUGGAUACAGAAAUAGUAGAUACAGUAGGAGAAAUGGGAGCUUAUAACAGGAUGUUGGCCCUCAGAAAUUGACUUUCACUGAAGAAUUCCUCAAGGCACAGGAUGUUGAGAAACUGCUUCUUCUCAGUGAUUGUCAAAGCUUUGCGGCUUUAGGUUCAUCUUCCUUUAUCUUCCUCUCAGCCUCUGUGUGUGCCUGCUUUUUUUUCUUGCACAGUUUUUUGGACCGAAAAUCUGAUGACUGUAUUUUUUCAGCUUAAAAAUAAAGAGUUAUAUGAAUUACA